GAUGAACGCUAGCGGCAGGCCUAAUACAUGCAAGUCGGACGGGAUCGGGGAGCUUGCUCCCCGUGAGAGUGGCGCACGGGUGCGUAACACGUAUGUAACCUACCUUUAUCAGGGGGAUAGCCUCUCGAAAGAGAGAUUAACACCGCAUAACAUCACAUGAUAGCAUUAUCGAGUGAUCAAAUAUUCAUAGGAUAAAGAUGGGCAUGCGGGACAUUAGCUAGUUGGCGGGGUAACGGCCCACCAAGGCGACGAUGUCUAGGGGAUCCGAGAGGAUGACCCCCCACACUGGUACUGAGACACGGACCAGACUCCUACGGGAGGCAGCAGUAAGGAAUAUUGGUCAAUGGACGCAAGUCCGAACCAGCCAUGCCGCGUGCAGGAGGACGGCCCUACGGGUUGUAAACUGCUUUUGUACCGGAAUAAACCCUUUUACGUGUAAGAGGCUGAAUGUACGGUAAGAAUAAGGAUCGGCUAACUCCGUGCCAGCAGCCGCAGUAAAAC
rnacentral:rRNA from 1 species